GUAUAAGUUAGUUUUUGUAUAAUAAAAGUAUUUAAAAUUUUUAUUAAGAUUAUUGAAUCAAUAAAAUUUAUUAUAGAGUAAUAGUAUUGUGAUAGAAAAUUUAUUAUUAUAUUAAAGAAGAAUUAAAUUUUUGUACCUUGUGUAUCAGGGUUUAUUAAUUAUAGGUUAAUAAUAUUAAUUAUCUCGAAUUUAAAAGAGUUAUAAAUUUAUAUAUAAGUUAUUGUAAAAUAAAUAUAGUAAAUAUUUUUAUAGCAGCGAAACACUAUUCGGAUUUAAAUAUAUCUAGUUUUUUAAGAAAGAAAUUCAAUUUCAUUUUUAUUUAUUAUUAAAUUUAAUUGUUAAUUUAAUGAUAAUAAGAUUAUAUUUUUUAAGGGUUGAGCUUUAGAAAAUAUUCAUAAAAUUUUUAAAAAUUAUUUUUAAUAAGUAGGAUUGUAAGUUUUUACCUUUUUUAGUGUUUUAUAACUAUUUGAAUUUAAUAAUUAAGAUUUUUAUAUGAAUUUAUGUAUUAUAUUAAAAUAUAAAUUUAAAUUAGCUAGGUUUAGAAAUAAUGAUAAAAUUAGUAUAAAAUUGUGUGAGAGUCUAUUAUUUGUGAAAGGUUUAUUAAAGUAACUCGGCAAAUAUAUUUUUCACCUGUUUAUUAAAAACAUGGCCUUUUGAUUAUAAUUUAAGGUCUAACCUGCCCAAUGAAAUGUAUUUAAUGGCCGCAGUAUUUUGACUGUGCAAAGGUAGCAUAAUAAUUAGUUUUUUAAUUAAAAGCUUGUAUGAAAGGUUGAAUGAGAAAAUAACUGUCUCUAUAAAAUUUAAUUAGAAUUUUAUUUUUAAGUAAAAAAGCUUAAAUAAUUAUAGAAGACGAGAAGACCCUAUAGAGUUUAAUAUUUUUAUAAAUUAAAUUUUAGUAUUAUAAUUUUAAUAUUAAAAAAAGUAUUUAAUUGGGGUGAUUGAAAAAUUUAAUAAACUUUUUUUUUAUAAAAUCAUUAAUUUAUGAAAGUAUGAUCCUUAAAUAAAGAUUAUAAGAUAAAAUUACCUUAGGGAUAACAGCGUAAUUUUUUUUUAGAGUUCGAAUCGAAAAAAAAGAUUGCGACCUCGAUGUUGGAUUAAAAUAAAAUUUUGGUGUAGCGGCUAAAAUAUUAGGUCUGUUCGACCUUUUAUAUUUUACAUGAUCUGAGUUUAAACCGGCGUGAGCCAGGUUGGUUUCUAUCUCUAUAAAAAAAAAUAUUUUAGUACGAAAGGACCUUAUAUUUAAUUUAAAAAAUUUUUUAAUAGAAUAAUAUUAAUUAAUAG
rnacentral:rRNA from 1 species